rnacentral:snRNA from 1 species
GAAUGUUAGCACAAUAUCGCCUUGAUGUUUGUCACCCCCAUUAAUCGCCAGAGUUUAUUCUGCUGAUCUGACUGGCCAACUAGGUAUGCCUUUCCUCCAUCACUUCUCCAUGUUUGUCCAUCCUGGAGACAUGUGUCUCCAGCUAAGAAGAGGACUUUCCCCAACAGAGGCAGGCCCUUCCAGAUCGUGUGUAGAGAAGCAGCCUCAAUCCCCUGCCAGGAAUUCCAAACAAGCUCUCAGUCUGGACACUGCCCUUUCCUCUUAUUUUAAGUUUGACUGAGAGCUGGGACAAUUAAGGGAAAUGCAUGAGUCUCAGGACAACCUGGGGGACCUGGCUC